GGGUGCGUAACACGUAUGCAACCUACCUUUUACCGGGGAAUAGCCUCUCGAAAGAGAGAUUAAUACCCCAUAAUAUAUUUGUUAGGCAUCUAAUAGAUAUUAAAGUUCAGGCGGUAAAAGAUGGGCAUGCGGUUGAUUAGUUAGUUGGUGAGGUAAUGGCUCACCAAGACUUCGAUCAAUAGGGGGUCUGAGAGGAUGUCCCCCCACACUGGUACUGAGACACGGACCAGACUCC
rnacentral:rRNA from 1 species